AGAGUUAGAUCCUGGCUCAGAUUGAACGCUGGCGGCAUGCCUUACACAUGCAAGUCGAACGGCAGCACGGGUGCUUGCACCUGGUGGCGAGUGGCGAACGGGUGAGUAAUAUAUCGGAACGUGCCCUAGAGUGGGGGAUAACGUAGCGAAAGUUACGCUAAUACCGCAUACGAUCUACGGAUGAAAGUGGGGGAUCGCAAGACCUCAUGCUCCUGGAGCGGCCGAUAUCUGAUUAGCUAGUUGGUGGGGUAAUAGCCCACCAAGGCGACGAUCAGUAGCUGGUCUGAGAGGACGACCAGCCACACUGGGACUGAGACACGGCCCAGACUCCUACGGGAGGCAGCAGUGGGGAAUUUUGGACAAUGGGGGAAACCCUGAUCCAGCAAUGCCGCGUGUGUGAAGAAGGCCUUCGGGUUGUAAAGCACUUUUGUCAGGAACGAAACGGUGGGGGCUAAUACCCUCUGCUAAUGACGGUACCUGAAGAAUAAGCACCGGCUAACUACGUGCCAGCAGCCGCGGUAAUACGUAGGGUGCGAGCGUUAAUCGGAAUUACUGGGCGUAAAGCGUGCGCAGGCGGUUGUGCAAGACAGAUGUGAAAUCCCCGGGCUUAACCUGGGAAUUGCAUUUGUGACUGCACGGCUAGAGUGUGUCAGAGGGGGGUAGAAUUCCACGUGUAGCAGUGAAAUGCGUAGAUAUGUGGAGGAAUACCGAUGGCGAAGGCAGCCCCCUGGGAUAACACUGACGCUCAUGCACGAAAGCGUGGGGAGCAAACAGGAUUAGAUACCCUGGUAGUCCACGCCCUAAACGAUGUCUACUAGUUGUCGGGUCUUAAUUGACUUGGUAACGCAGCUAACGCGUGAAGUAGACCGCCUGGGGAGUACGGUCGCAAGAUUAAAACUCAAAGGAAUUGACGGGGACCCGCACAAGCGGUGGAUGAUGUGGAUUAAUUCGAUGCAACGCGAAAAACCUUACCUACCCUUGACAUGUACGGAACCCUGCUGAGAGGUGGGGGUGCUCGAAAGAGAGCCGUAACACAGGUGCUGCAUGGCUGUCGUCAGCUCGUGUCGUGAGAUGUUGGGUUAAGUCCCGCAACGAGCGCAACCCUUGUCAUUAGUUGCUACGAAAGGGCACUCUAAUGAGACUGCCGGUGACAAACCGGAGGAAGGUUGGGGAUGACGUCAAGUCCUCAUGGCCCUUAUGGGUAGGGCUUCACACGUCAUACAAUGGUACAUACAGAGGGCCGCCAACCCGCGAGGGGGAGCUAAUCCCAGAAAGUGUAUCGUAGUCCGGAUUGUAGUCUGCAACUCGACUACAUGAAGUUGGAAUCGCUAGUAAUCGCGGAUCAGCAUGUCGCGGUGAAUACGUUCCCGGGUCUUGUAGACACCGCCCGUCACACCAUGGGAGCGGGUUUUACCAGAAGUAGGUAGCUUAACCGCAAGGAGGGCGCUUACCACGGUAGGAUUCGUGACUGGGGUGAAGUCGUAACAAGGUA
rnacentral:rRNA from 1 species